UACGGUAUCCGAGUCUCCAAACAGCACCCUAGGGUUUAUACGCAGUCCUAUAAAUUCAAAGAACCCAUUGCCAAUGCUUCCUCCAAUACCAUCGUCUCUGCCGAUUACUUUCAAAUGUUAAAUCUACCACGUUGUGUUUCUAAUUUCUAUGAUCCUCAAUUUCAUUCUUAUACAUAUAGUUCUCAAAUUUUUGUUUCGAAGCAUCAGUGAUGAACAAUCUCAAUUUUGUUAUCCUUGCACUUUGAUUGUCAGUGAAGAAAAUAAUGGGGAAUGAUUGCUCUGAGAUGCUAUUUCUUCAAUCUGUUAUUUUAUUAUUAUUUUUCAAUUUUUUUUAAUUAUUAGUUAUUUGGUAGAUUUAUGGAUCUGUGAUGUUAUAAUUAAACUGCGUUAUCUAUCUGAUACUUCCCAAGGGAUUUUGAAGAUAACUAUAAUUUACUGAGAUCCCUUUAUUUUCUUCUUCAUAUUCAUUAUUGUUUUUUUUUCAAUGAAAAAAAAUUCAAAAACCCCUUUUUGUAAUGUAAUUUUAAUCUGUAGUGAUUAAAAUGUUAUUGGUUUUAAUAAAAGUCUAUUUUUUUUGGCAUGUUUAGUAGAUUUUAUGUUUGGGAUCGGUGAUGUUAUUUAUAUACUGCGUUAUCUAUCUGAAAAUCCUUUAAAGGAACUGAAGAUAAUCGUAAUAUACUGAGAUCUUGC